UAAUUGGUUAGCUCAAAAGGUAGGGUACAUGUAAUAACUAAUGCAACAUACCUAAUGGAGCUUUAUGUUUUUAAUAUUUCCCAUAACAACAUGAUAAGGAAAAAUAUAGGAGUUUUUGUUGCAAGGAUUAUAGACUUUUGUAUUCUACUAUAUUGGUUACUAAGAUGAUUUCCUUCAAGACGAUUCAUACAAAGAAAAUGGAAGUUUCAAAUAUAUUAUGGUUAUAAAACCAGCCUAUAUAUUACUUCCGCACUGACGCCACACUGACACCGGUAGAGCAGCUCAUGCAUAUGUAAUCAAAAUAAACAACAACUAAAUCUCUAAAUUUCGUGAUCAUAGCUACAAAAUUACAGCGGCGAAUAUGUAGCUCAGUUUUGCGAAGUGCUACUUUGUAAGGAUGCAUUUGGAAAGACACCUGAUAAGAUAAGAUAAAUUGGGAAAGUGUUUAGUGAAGAGAGAAUCAGGGUCAUGUCAUGUGGAUCUGACGAGCUAAACUGUAAUAGCAAGUGCUAGACUUUAAGCCCGCAUCUGCAAAUUAUCUAGCAUUUCACAUUAGUCGUAUGGCAAUUAAAUCUAAAAAUACCAUUCUUCCUGAAAUAUUAUUGCUCACUCAAAAAAUUAUAUUCAAUAACCAGAUCUAAUAUAGUUGUAGUUUGUUUUGACAUUUGAUGCAACAAAUAUCAUAUUGAUUCCUUAGAUCUCCACCCCAAGGUUCGGGCUCAUAGAUUGUUCUUUACUACUAUUAAUAUGUGAUACUGAAAAUGAAUAUCAUUGGUUGUUUGUUGUUGACGUCAAGGCCUUUAAUAUGAACAGAGGUACAUAUAUCUAGGUUUCUAAAGAACCAAAUACAGUGUUAUUGUUAAUAGCCUUUGCUAUAUGUUUUUCAUAGCAGAGUCUUGUAGCUCUAUUUCAAAGAGCUAUGGAUGUACCCGUUCUGGUGUUCAACCUGAUAUUGAUGUGUGAUCAACGGGAAGAUGAGGGUGCAGCUGAAUCACGUGUGGCUCCGACAGCGCGCGGGAGUCGUAUCCACUGGGGUGCAAGCCGAGGGAACGAACCAGAGCAGAGAGCUUGACCUGGGUCUCUUCUCCUCCACAACGACAAGGUGGACCAGAUGAGCAGCCGGUCAUAAGUCGCAUGGUGGUGCUAGACUGGCCCUUGUGCUCCUUCUCAGCUGGGAACGGGCAAAACGGUCUCCCCUGCUCUCCCACUGGUAUAUUGAUGCUAGCAAGCUCAACGAUUUGAUGAUAUGCAAUGACACAUAUUGCUUGAUCGAUGCGAUCCUUUUUAUGAUCAUGGACGAUGAAAAACUUUAUGGUGGCGACUAGCGGAAAACUUGAAUGGCAACACAACCGGGAAGGAGCUGCUCACCUGAGCGUCUGCCAAGGCUGCUUCCAUCAGCAACCGUAUAUAAUUUCAGCUUCACGGUGUGUGGGCAUGCUCAAUUCUGCGGAGCACAUCACUACAACCUGGAGAGUUCCAAACACGGUUUACAUUUCAUGCUGUUACAGUCACGCGGUUCAGUAGAUGCUUCUCCAAGUAGUAAGAAACAGGGAUCUCGCUGGGAUAAUACUGCAUCUGCAGUUCAGGGAUCCCAGUGGGUGUCACCGGGAUAAUACUGCAUCUCCCUGAAUUUAUGGAAGUUUCCUUUUCUUUUGCUUUUAAAUUAUAAAGUGCACUUCAUUGCGCAGGAUGGAACUGAGCACGCAGUCAGAAUAUUUCGUACUACCAUUUAGAUUUACACAAAUGUGAUAAGAUUUUCCAGAGUUUAAUUUUCUAGGGUUAUAGUUGAUGCUAAACCCUUCUAGAAUAAGAUGGAAAAAGUUCAGACCACUCAUGAAAAGUAUAUUCAUAUUAACAUUAAGAUUUAUGCAGGUCUGAUAUGCUUUAUAA